UCCAAACACCUCUCCCCAACACCCUCAGUACUGAUCUAGGUUAUCCUUACUGCUCCCAAUGCUCAAGGAAGGCAUCAAUAAAGGGUUUCUUGAUUGAAGCUCAUCAAAUCCUCUUCCAGAAAAUGAUGAAGAUACGUGCAUCUUAGUUACUAUGAGGCCAUUUGUUAGGCCAUCUCCAACUGCUGCACUUGGUAAUGGAUUGGGGCCACUUUCUAGGACAACCAGUUAUUAUGCUCGACCAUUUGGUGAUGAUAGUAGUCUAAGGCCAUGGAAUAUCUUCCUCCAAAUGAGACACGUGCAUCUAGUGUUAGGCCGCCAUCUAUGCCAAACCAUCCAAUAUUUAGACCUCAACUAAGACCAGCUAAAUAUUAUGGCUGUGUCACUUACACUGUAAAAGAUGCCCGUACUGGAGUUGUAGUUAUUUUUGACGGACCUAGCACCAUGGAAAGAAUGAACUCCUCUAUAACACAACAGAUAUGACAUGUUUUGUAUUAGUAUUAACUUUUUUUUUGUGUCUUCUAUGUGUUACAAACAUUUGGAGGAUCAUCAUCAGGAUCUACAACAAUCAGGAUCUACAACAAUCACCCUGUAGUUACCAAAAAUUGUAUGGCCCCACUGGGCCACAUGAUGACGAGCCCAAGUCUGGAAUGCUCAAAUUCACGGGCCCAACUGGCACACUCUAGCUCAUACUGAGGCCUAUAAUGAAACGUUCGAGGCUCUGUCCGUUGAUAACACGAUCACGUGAUAGCAAACAGUGAUCCUGACACCAUAUUUGACAAUAGAGGCUAACGUCCCCUCUUAGUAUUGACGAUGUCAUUACUUAACAGAAACUUCCUCUCACCUAGCUAUGGCGCGAUCAAAAAUAAGACGCCUGGACGCCCAGGAGUCAAUUUGGCCCACGAUCAUUCCCUCCUAGGGAACAUGAUCCAAUCCAGUUCACACCAACAUCCUUGUACAUGACAGAUACGUAUCUCCAGGUAUGAUCUCUUAUCACAUAAUAUCAAUUCAUUUAUGGUUGCCCACUACUGCAUUCCAUUCUGUGAUCAACAUGUGUCCAACUCCCAUCAUAUCAUAUGUCUUGACAUUCCCAUCCUGCUUUUCGUCUACCAACCUUGACACAUCCGAUAUACUUGACUUUUAUGCGUAUAUACCCUGGGUUUUACCAAAAAGGACACAAGUUGGUGACACGACUCCCAAGGUAUGCCCUCACUUUCAUAUAAAUACCCUUCUCCUACCUUGGAGAAGGGGAUCCGAACAUUGAGAAUGAGACAUUGAAACUCUCCGAACCAUCACUGAAUAUUCAGCCACAAACACUCCAGCCAUCGUCGGUCUCCCACCUCCGAUCACCACUGACUUGAUCGUCGGAGCCUCUACUCCGGCACCCCCUAGUUCGGUGUGAGAGCUUUCACGGUUGCUUUUGUUGUGACGUUUACAAGAUUUAAAGGUGUAGAUGAGCCUCCACGUAAUCAAAGUUGACUCAUCAACGAUUGUAGAAAAUUGCUCCUACACACCCAACACACACGAGUCCGUCAACAAAUAAGGAGGAUGAUUUUAGAUUGUCAUUUUGUUGGGUUGUAAUGCUAUUUCAUUUUAAUUUGGUGAUUUUAUAACUAUGGUACAUCUUGGAUUUGUUUUGAUAUGUGAUGUUAUCCAAUUUUUGGACAGGUUCAUGUUUGUGGAUGUUGGACAUAUUCCUAUUAUGUUAUGUGAUUUCAAGAUGGGAAUAUUCAUGUUAUGUUA